AGGGGCGGAUCUAUACACACUUGAGAGUGUGCAACUGCACACCCUGACAUUUUGAGAUUAACAUAUAUAAUCCUAAAUUUUUGUAUUUUGCACACCCUGAAAAAACCUUUUUUGCACCUCUAUUGCACUCUUCCUUCCACAAAGAAAUAAAAACUACCAAAGAAAAAGAAAGAAGUGAGAAGAAGUAUGCAUGCAGGAAGAAGAAAAACACAAAAUUACUUUUCUUUUGAAAACAAUAACUACAAAGAAGAGUGAACAGGGGUAGUCUGAUAGAUAUGAGUGAGUGGCGGCUACGUGCUUUCCAAUGUUAUAAGCACAAAAUAAUUAGGUUUAUCA
rnacentral:lncRNA from 1 species